AUUGAACGCUGGCGGCAUGCUUUACACAUGCAAGUCGAACGGCAGCGCGGGCUUCGGCCUGGCGGCGAGUGGCGAACGGGCGAGUAAUACAUCGGAACGUGCCCAGUAGUGGGGGAUAGCUCGGCGAAAGCCGGAUUAAUACCGCAUACGACCUGAGGGUGAAAGCGGGGGUUCUUCGGACCUCGCGCUAUUGGAGCGGCCGAUGGCAGAUUAGCUAGUUGGUGGGGUAAAGGCCUACCAAGGCGACGAUCUGUAGCUGGUCUGAGAGGACGACCAGCCACACUGAGACUGAGACACGGCCCAGACUCCUACGGGAGGGAGCAGUGGGGAAUUUUGGACAAUGGGCGAGAGCCUGAUCCAGCAAUGCCGCGUGUGUGAUGAAGGCCUUCGGGUUGUAAAGCACUUUUGGCGGGAACGAAAAGGACUGUGCCAAUACCACGGUUCGAUGACGGUACCCGCAGAAUAAGCACCGGCUAACUACGUG
rnacentral:rRNA from 1 species